rnacentral:rRNA from 1 species
UACAGAGGUCUCAAGCGUUGUUCGGAUUCAUUGGGCGUAAAGGGUGCGUAGGUGGCGGGGUAAGUCAGGUGUGAAAUCUCGGAGCUCAACUCCGAAACUGCACUUGAUACUGCCUUGCUGGAGUACCGGAGAGGAGAUUGGAAUUCCCGGUGUAGUGGUGGAAUGCGUAGAUAUCGGGAGGAACACCAGUGGCGAAGGCGGUUGCCUGGGGCUUUGCUGACGCUGAUGCGCGAAAGCGUGGGGAGCGAUCCGG